rnacentral:rRNA from 1 species
AUUGAACGCUGGCGGCAUGCUUUACACAUGCAAGUCGAACGGUAACAGGCCGCAAGGUGCUGACGAGUGGCGAACGGGUGAGUAAUGCAUCGGAACGUGCCCAGUCGUGGGGGAUAACGCAGCGAAAGCUGUGCUAAUACCGCAUACGAUCUAUGGAUGAAAGCGGGGGACCGUAAGGCCUCGCGCGAUUGGAGCGGCCGAUGUCAGAUUAGGUAGUUGGUGGGGUAAAGGCCUACCAAGCCGACGAUCUGUAGCUGGUCUGAGAGGACGACCAGCCACACUGGGACUGAGACACGGCGCAGACUCCUACGGGAGGCAGCAGUGGGGAAUUUUGGACAAUGGGCGAAAGCCUGAUCCAGCAAUGCCGCGUGAAGGAAGAAGGCCUUCGGGUUGUAAACUGCUUUUGUACGGAACGAAACGGUCCGGGUUAAUACCCUGGGCUAAUGACGGUACCGUAAGAAUAAGCACCGGCUAACUACGUGCCAGCCGCCGCGGUAACAC